CUCCUGUACUAACAAUAUGGUGAAAUCUGUGCAAAACCCUAGAUCCUAGAACAUAUGCCAUACAUAGAAAGGGACAUUGUUCCUGAAUUUUUUCCAUCACCGUUUUCUCACUUUCUGGGUUUUGUUUUAGCUUUCCAAUGCCAAGGACUGUCUGUCAGUCUCCCCAAGAAGAACAAAGGUCAAAGGUGGUAACCAGGCAGCAGUGGGUACAGCGUUGGAUCUUUGUCUAAAGAGGUUUACUCAAGAAAUCCAGAAAAUGGAGAAAUCAGUCUCUCCCUGAUGACCAAUUUUAGUGUGAUCCGACAAAUCAGUCAAAUUAUUGUGAGGGUCAAGCAGGCAGCUACUCACAGAUUUCCAGCUUCAACUAGACGAUAUCGCUUGAAAUGGACAUUUUAUUUGAUGGACAAAUU